UUUAGGUACUUGGAAGUCCUACAUCCUGGGAAAACUUUCGGUCCCAGACAAACUGAGAUGGUGGGUCAGACCCAUGCCACUUGCAAAUGUCAGAGCACCUGGUCUUGGAUGCAGUAUCAAAGGGAUUGUUAGCUGCAGUGUGUGGACGCUUAGUUGAGGCAUGUGGCAUCUAGUUCCCCAACCAGGGAUCAGACCCAGGUCCCCUGCAUUGGGAGCCUGGAGUCCCAGCCACUGGACCACCAGGGAAUCCCAAGGUUGAUGAGCGUGUUGUGACCGGAGGCUCGCAGAAACCCCACCUUGCAUUUCCUCUGGGAGCAGCGAUUGGAAUUCACUAACUGGCAAACUUCCUGAAGGCUCCCCAGAAGCCAGCGAGUCUAGAGCCCACGCUCUGCAACAAGAGAAGCCGCCGUAAUGAGAAGCCCACGCAUCACAGUGAAGAACAGUUCCCAUUGCCACAGCUAGAGAAAAACUGGCGCAGCAGCGGCGACCCACCACCGACAAGAAAACAAAACAAAAACCCACCGCCUGGGGCUGUGGGCCGGUCACACUGUACCUUCACCCCCAACCUGUGCUUUCGGGCCAGGGUCAGCCUUGGUCCCCUCUCCGGGGCCUUUUCCCUGCCCUCUCCCACUCCCCUCGCCAAGCCAGGGGGAGCCAGGCACUUUCCAGCUGGAAUUUGGAUUCCACCACUUGCUCUGACCUUGGCAAGUCACAUACCCUUGCUGAGCCUCAGUUUCUUCGUCUGUAAAAUGGACGUGUGCUCAGCACCUGAAGGCUCAGUGUUCCACUCAGCGCAAAGCUCAGAGACGUAAGACGCCCCGAAUCUGGAAUUUGGUGGGAAGCAGUCUGUGGCUCAUGAGGUACCUCAGCUUUGUGUUGAACGAGAGACACCAGCUCGUUGGUGCCCCCCAGUCCCCUGAGGAGUGAACCCCUGCUUGUUCUUCUCAGGAACU